UACGUAGGGAGCAAGCGUUGUCCGGAAUCAUUGGGCGUAAAGCGCGCGUAGGCGGCCCUGUAAGUCCGUUGUGAAAGUCAAAGGCUCAACCUUUGAAAGCCGAUGGAUACUGCAGGGCUAGAGUCCGGAAGAGGCGAGUGGAAUUCCUGGUGUAGCGGUGGAAUGCGCAGAUAUCAGGAGGAACACCAGAGGCGAAGGCGGCCUACUGGGCCAGUACUGACGCUGAGCCGCGAAAGCCAGGGGAGCGAACGGG
rnacentral:rRNA from 1 species